AUGAGCCAUAUGCAGGGAAACUUGCACGUUUGGUUCUGGUCGGGGACCUCGGUAUACUGUACAAAUAUGUGUAGGUUCCCGUAAUUUCCGUGAGAUUGUCAUGGCUCAAAAGCAGAUAUGGUCUGGUCUUCUCUUGUUCCCUGUAU
rfam:Capsicum annuum cultivar Zunla-1 chromosome 12, whole genome shotgun sequence